rnacentral:tRNA from 1 species
GUUUUAAUAGUUUAAAAAUAAAAUAUUAGUCUUGUAAACUAAAAUUAGGAAUUCCUUUAAAACU